rnacentral:lncRNA from 10 species
UUGUCGGGUUUUUUUUUUUUUUUUAAUGCAGAAUGGUCUAGACAGUAAUUUACAAAAACUACUUAGCUCAAAAGACUGUGGAAGUGUUCAUCAGCAAGCAAGCUGUCCUUCCAAACCCAAACAUGCCACAGAUGGCACCCAGAAACAGACAGUCUGCCUUCAAUGUGCUAAGCAUUCUAAUGCCGUCCGCGGCUGAGUCACCUCGCCCACCCCCCAACCCCCAACACACAGUCGUGUCUGCUGAGGACACACGGGUGAAUCAAACAGGGCUUUGCUGGGAGAGUGUGUGUCUGUGAUUUGGUUCCCGCCACACCAAGUCUUCCUGCUUCUGACAAACUCCGCACGUGUUCCCAGGCAGCUGGGAGCCAAACUGCCUCUGGUGCAAGUCAGUACAAGAGGCGGCACCUGCAUCCCCACCCCACCUCCACCCCAAGACCCCAGCUCUGCCCUCCCUCUCAGCUCUGGAAAGCGCAGCCCUGAGGGGUGCUGCUGUGCUUACCCUCAGGCGGGCCCCACCCUGCACUCUCCGCUCAGCCUCAUGGGGCUGGUGCAGGUCCACCAGGCUCUGCCCAGUGAAGGCACCUUCCUCUGAGGGGACCUCAUGGGAGCCUCAAACCCCAGGGGCAAAGCCUCAAGUUCACAGCUUCUCAGAGGAAGAAUGACACUGGGAGGAACAAUGACGGGAAGGUGCAUGUCUCGGCCACAGCCACCAAGCUCACCACUUGAAAAGCACUUCCUGCUGGGGCCCUCCUGCUACUCCCAGGAGCAGCCGGCCACCUGAGUGGUCUGUCAUGUCCAUGUGGCCCUCCCUGUCCUGCAGCCACAGCUCCUGUAAUGCUUGGGCAAGUAUGCAAUUGCAUGCUACAACUCAGCCCGGGGGACGGGAAAUGCCACCUGAGUACAGGCAGCACGCGGAGCCCUGACUGAACCCCAUGAGCAACUCAGAAAGAGGAAGCCCAGGGCUUGGGGCAGAAGUAGGAGCUCCAUCAGUAGGCAUGCCUGACUUCUGCAGCGAGGGAAACUUGCAGAUGAAGCCAGGAGGCAGGCAGCGCUGCUCUCCACAGCCACUGCCCCCACAGCGUCCUUCCCUCCCACUUUCUGUUUUUAGCAGCUCUUCCCAACCAAACUACCAACCUAGACUCUCCUGACCUCUGCUUCAGGUCUGCAGAACUUACGAUUCUUACUGCCAUUUGGCCCUUUGUGAAGGCACAAGAGCUCUCAAAGCUCAUCUGUAAAUUGACUCGUUGCUACGCGGAUAGAACUGGAGCAGUGGGAAGCCAAGCGGAGUCCUGGUGAUAGCACGCUGGGUGGGGGCUUCUCCCUCUCAGCCUCUCUCUUCUAGGAGCAGCUGAUAAGAAUGCCAGCUGCAGAAGACUGGAAAUGACCCAACAUCCUCGGGGGAAACACACACACAGUGCUCGGCCCAUAUAUGUUCCGCCAAAGACAGAGCCCAAAUAAGAACGAGCCAGCUUUUCAGGAAUCAACAGGGAACAACCUUCAAGAGACUGCCAAGCACAGAGAUGCACACAACAGCGCACCCUGUGCCGCCGCCUGGAAGAUCCUAGCUGAGGCUGGGCAGACAAGGACCUGAUGGUUGAGCCGCGCAUAGCUGUAGCAGGGGACCGCACCUGGCCUCCAGCACUGACGCAAGCAAGACCUAUCACUGACUGGAGCCCAGUUCCUCCUCUGAGAGCAUGAGAAAACCACAAGAUGGUGUCUGUAGAGCAUGAAUGGUGUGCUGGAGACCACGCCCCCAGGGGCCAGGCCACGAGGACCCGCACACUGCACUUUCUGCUGGGCUGCUCUGUGGUCUGUAAGAUCCAUUCAGGCAGGGCAGUGCCCAGCACGGUGCCUGGAGGCAGCCUCAGAGGCCCAUUGAGAGAGGAAGCCGAAGGAGAGCAGCCCCCCGCCUGCCUGUCCAAUUGGGCUGCUGUAAGAUCCUGAGAACUAGUGACCUUCUAGAAUUCCCCGAGACAAGUCAUCAAAUGCUCUCUGAGCACCGACUGCACACAGGUGCUCUACCAAACUCUGGGCCCGCUGGAUGCUGGGAGGGGGCGUUAGGAUCCCUGUGUACUGACCCGGAGGAGUAGACAGAGACAGCCAAGGUCAAGAACAGAAGCAACAGAUAAAAUGCCACCACUGAGGCUCUCACCCAGGCUGCCAGGAAACCCCAGGGGAGGACUACACUUGGCUCAGGUCCAGGGCCACCCCUUCCCCCACAGCUCCUGGGCUCUGUGUGGAGCUGGAGGGACAGGAGUGGGCACAGGGGCCUUCUCAUUGGGCAUUCCUGCAACGAGGGCCACGGUGCAGAGAACCAAGGACACUGUCACCCAAGAAAGAGUCUGGUGACUCUGUGGAUCCCAUGGUAACCACCAUUUAAGGAUGGACACUCACGCUAUGAUCCAGCAAUUCCACUCCAAGCAGCACCUACAGAAAUGCACUCAGAGCAGCUGUAUCAGAACAGCCCCAACUGAAAACAGCCCACGCAGCCACCAACAGAACACC